AGGGUUUGAUUCUGGCUCAGAUUGAACGCUGGCGGCACGCUUAACACAUGCAAGUCGAACGGCAGCAUAAUAGGAGCUUGCUCUUAUUGAUGGCGAGUGGCGAACGGGUGAGUAACGCGUAGGAAUAUGCCUUAAAGAGGGGGAUAACUUGGGGAAACUCAAGCUAAUACCGCGUAAGCUCUCCGGAGUAAAGCUAGGGACCUUCAGGCCUGGCGCUUUAAGAAUAGCCUGCGUCUGAUUAGCUAGUUGGUGGGGUAAAGGCCUACCAAGGCGAUGAUCGGUAGCUGGUCUGAGAGGGUGGACAGCCACACUGGGACUGAGACACGGCCCAGACUCCUACGGGAGGCAGCAGUGGGGAAUAUUGGACAAUGGGGGAAAACCCUGAUCCAGCGAUGCCGCGUGUGUGAAGAAGGCCUGAGGGUUGUAAAGCACUUUUAGUGGGGAGGAUGGGCGCAAGGUUAAGUGCUAGGCGCGUUGACGUUACCCACCAUAAACAGCACCGGCUAACUCCGUGCCAGCC
rnacentral:rRNA from 1 species